rnacentral:rRNA from 1 species
UACGUAGGGUGCAAGCGUUAAUCGGAAUUACUGGGCGUAAAGCGUGCGCAGGCGGUUUUGUAAGUCUGUCGUGAAAUCCCCGGGCUCAACCUGGGAAUUGCGAUGGAGACUGCAAGGCUAGAAUCUGGCAGAGGGGGGUAGAAUUCCACGUGUAGCAGUGAAAUGCGUAGAGAUGUGGAGGAACACCGAUGGCGAAAGGCAGCCCCCUGGGUCAAGAUUGACGCUCAUGCACGAAAGCGUGGGGA